AGUCGAACGGCAGCGCGGGGCAACCUGGCGGCGAGUGGCGAACGGGUGAGUAAUAUAUCGGAACGUACCCUGGAGUGGGGGAUAACGUAGCGAAAGUUACGCUAAUACCGCAUACGAUCUAAGGAUGAAAGUGGGGGAUUCGCAAGAACCUCAUGCUCCUGGAGCGGCCGAUAUCUGAUUAGCUAGUUGGUGGGGUAAAGGCCUACCAAGGCAUCGAUCAGUAGCUGGUCUGAGAGGACGACCAGCCACACUGGAACUGAGACACGGUCCAGACUCCUACGGGAGGCAGCAGUGGGGAAUUUUGGACAAUGGGCGAAAGCCUGAUCCAGCAAUGCCGCGUGAGUGAAGAAGGCCUUCGGGUUGUAAAGCUCUUUUGUCAGGGAAGAAACGGUGAGGGCUAAUAUCCCUUGCUAAUGACGGUACCUGAAGAAUAAGCACCGGCUAACUACGUGCCAGCAGCCGCGGUAAUACGUAGGGUGCAAGCGUUAAUCGGAAUUACUGGGCGUAAAGCGUGCGCAGGCGGUUUUGUAAGUCUGUCGUGAAAUCCCCGGGCUCAACCUGGGAAUUGCGAUGGAGACUGCAAGGCUAGAAUCUGGCAGAGGGGGGUAGAAUUCCACGUGUAGCAGUGAAAUGCGUAGAGAUGUGGAGGAACACCGAUGGCGAAGGCAGCCCCCUGGGUCAAGAUUGACGCUCAUGCACGAAAGCGUGGGGAGCAAACAGGAUUAGAUACCCUGGUAGUCCACGCCCUAAACGAUGUCUACUAGUUGUCGGGUUUUAAUUAACUUGGUAACGCAGCUAACGCGUGAAGUAGACCGCCUGGGGGAGUACGGUCGCAAGAUUAAAACUCAAAGGAAUUGACGGGGACCCGCACAAGCGGUGGAUGAUGUGGAUUAAUUCGAUGCAACGCGAAAAACCUUACCUACCCUUGACAUGUACGGAAGCCACGAGAGAUCGAGGUGUGCUCGAAAGAGAACCGUAACACAGGUGCUGCAUGGCUGUCGUCAGCUCGUGUCGUGAGAUGUUGGGUUAAGUCCCGCAACGAGCGCAACCCUUGUCAUUAGUUGCUACGAAAGAGCACUCUAAUGAGACUGCCGGUGACAAACCGGAGGAAGGUGGGGAUGACGUCAAGUCCUCAUGGCCCUUAUGGGUAGGGCUUCACACGUCAUACAAUGGUACAUACAGAGGGCCGCCAACCCGCGAGGGGGAGCUAAUCCCAGAAAGUGUAUCGUAGUCCGGAUUGUAGUCUGCAACUCGACUACAUGAAGUUGGAAUCGCUAGUAAUCGCGGAUCAGCAUGUCGCGGUGAAUACGUUCCCGGGUCUUGUACACACCGCCCGUCACACCAUGGGAGCGGGUUUUACCAGAAGUAGGUAGCUUAACCGUAA
rnacentral:rRNA from 1 species